rnacentral:rRNA from 1 species
ACGGAAGGCAGCAGUGGGGAAUAUUGCACAAUGGGGGAAACCCUGAUGCAGCGACGCCGCGUGAGUGAAGAAGUAUUUCGGUAUGUAAAGCUCUAUCAGCAGGAAAGAAAAUGACGGUACCUGACUAAGAAGCCCCGGCUAACUACGUGCCAGCAGCCGCGGUAAUACGUAGGGGGCAAGCGUUAUCCGGAUUUACUGGGUGUAAAGGGAGCGUAGACGGCUUUGCAAGUCUGAAGUGAAAGCCCGGGGCUCAACCCCGGAGCUGCUUUGGAAACUGUAGAGCUAGAGUGCAGGAGAGGUAAGUGGAAUUCCUAGUGUAGCGGUGAAAUGCGUAGAUAUUAGGAGGAACACCAGUGGCGAAGGCGGCUUACUGGACUGUAACUGACGUUGAGGCUCGAAGGCGUGGGGAGCAAACAGGAUUAGAUACCCUGGUA